rnacentral:rRNA from 2 species
AGAGUUUGAUCAUGGCUCAGAUUGAACGCUGGCGGCAGGCCUAACACAUGCAAGUCGAGCGGUAGCACAGAGAGCUUGCUCUCGGGUGACGAGCGGCGGACGGGUGAGUAAUGUCUGGGAAACUGCCUGAUGGAGGGGGAUAACUACUGGAAACGGUAGCUAAUACCGCAUAACGUCGCAAGACCAAAGUGGGGGACCUUCGGGCCUCAUGCCAUCAGAUGUGCCCAGAUGGGAUUAGCUAGUAGGUGGGGUAACGGCUCACCUAGGCGACGAUCCCUAGCUGGUCUGAGAGGAUGACCAGCCACACUGGAACUGAGACACGGUCCAGACUCCUACGGGAGGCAGCAGUGGGGAAUAUUGCACAAUGGGCGCAAGCCUGAUGCAGCCAUGCCGCGUGUGUGAAGAAGGCCUUCGGGUUGUAAAGCACUUUCAGCGGGGAGGAAGGCGGUGAGGUUAAUAACCUCAUCGAUUGACGUUACCCGCAGAAGAAGCACCGGCUAACUCCGUGCCAGCAGCCGCGGUAAUACGGAGGGUGCAAGCGUUAAUCGGAAUUACUGGGCGUAAAGCGCACGCAGGCGGUCUGUCAAGUCGGAUGUGAAAUCCCCGGGCUUAACCUGGGAACUGCAUUCGAAACUGGCAGGCUAGAGUCUUGUAGAGGGGGGUAGAAUUCCAGGUGUAGCGGUGAAAUGCGUAGAGAUCUGGAGGAAUACCGGUGGCGAAGGCGGCCCCCUGGACAAAGACUGACGCUCAGGUGCGAAAGCGUGGGGAGCAAACAGGAUUAGAUACCCUGGUAGUCCACGCCGUAAACGAUGUCGAUUUGGAGGUUGUGCCCUUGAGGCGUGGCUUCCGGAGCUAACGCGUUAAAUCGACCGCCUGGGGAGUACGGCCGCAAGGUUAAAACUCAAAUGAAUUGACGGGGGCCCGCACAAGCGGUGGAGCAUGUGGUUUAAUUCGAUGCAACGCGAAGAACCUUACCUGGUCUUGACAUCCACAGAACUUUCCAGAGAUGGAUUGGUGCCUUCGGGAACUGUGAGACAGGUGCUGCAUGGCUGUCGUCAGCUCGUGUUGUGAAAUGUUGGGUUAAGUCCCGCAACGAGCGCAACCCUUAUCCUUUGUUGCCAGCGGUCCGGCCGGGAACUCAAAGGAGACUGCCAGUGAUAAACUGGAGGAAGGUGGGGUUGACGUCAAGUCAUCAUGGCCCUUACGACCAGGGCUACACACGUGCUACAAUGGCAUAUACAAAGAGAAGCGACCUCGCGAGAGCAAGCGGACCUCAUAAAGUAUGUCGUAGUCCGGAUUGGAGUCUGCAACUCGACUCCAUGAAGUCGGAAUCGCUAGUAAUCGUAGAUCAGAAUGCUACGGUGAAUACGUUCCCGGGCCUUGUACACACCGCCCGUCACACCAUGGGAGUGGGUUGCAAAAGAAGUAGGUAGCUUAACCUUCGGGAGGGCGCUUACCACUUUGUGAUUCAUGACUGGGGUGAAGUCGUAACAAGGUAACCGUAGGGGAACCUGCGGUUGGAUCACCU